UACGUAGGGAGCAAGCGUUGUCCGGAUUUAUUGGGCGUAAAGAGCUCGUAGGCGGUUCCUUAAGUCAGGUGUGAAAAAUCUGGGCUCAACCCAGUGGAGCACCUGAUACUGCGGUGACUCGAGUCCGGUAGGGGAGUGUGGAAUUCCUGGUGUAGCGGUGAAAUGCGCAGAUAUCAGGAGGAACACCGACGGCGAAGGCAGCACUCUGGGCCGGUACUGACGCUGAGGAGCGAAAGCAUGGGGAGCGAACAGG
rnacentral:rRNA from 1 species